GUGGACGCCAGUCUGCAUGGAGCCGACCUUGAAAUACCACCCUUUAAUGUUUGAUGUUCUAACGUGGACCCGUGAUCCGGGUUGCGGACAGUGUCUGGUGGGUAGUUUGACUGGGGCGGUCUCCUCCUAAAGAGUAACGGAGGAGCACGAAGGUUGGCUAAUCCUGGUCGGACAUCAGGAGGUUAGUGCAAUGGCAUAAGCCAGCUUGACUGCGAGCGUGACGGCGCGAGCAGGUGCGAAAGCAGGUCAUAGUGAUCCGGUGGUUCUGAAUGGAAGGGCCAUCGCUCAACGGAUAAAAGGUACUCCGGGGAUAACAGGCUGAUACCGCCCAAGAGUUCAUAUCGACGGCGGUGUUUGGCACCUCGAUGUCGGCUCAUCACAUCCUGGGGCUGAAGUAGGUCCCAAGGGUAUGGCUGUUCGCCAUUUAAAGUGGUACGCGAGCUGGGUUUAGAACGUCGUGAGACAGUUCGGUCCCUAUCUGCCGUGGGCGCUGGAGAACUGAGGGGGGCUGCUCCUAGUACGAGAGGACCGGAGUGGACGCAUCACUGGUGUUCGGGUUGUCAUGCCAAUGGCACUGCCCGGUAGCUAAAUGCGGAAGAGAUAAGUGCUGAAAGCAUCUAAGCACGAAACUUGCCCCGAGAUGAGUUCUCCCUGAGACUUAAAGUCUCCUGAAGGAACGUUGAA
rnacentral:rRNA from 1 species